rnacentral:rRNA from 1 species
UACGUAGGCAGCAAGCGUUGUUCGGAAUUACUGGGCGUAAAGAGUGUGUAGGUGGUGCUCCAAGUCUGUUGUGAAAUCUCCCGGCUUAACUGGGAGGGUGCGGCGGAAACUGGAAUGCUUGAGGAUGGGAGAGGAAAGCGGAAUUCCUGGUGUAGCGGUGAAAUGCGUAGAUAUUGGGAGGAACACCAGUGGCGCAAGCGGCUAUCUGGACUGACAUUGACGCUGAGGCACGAAAGCGUGGGGAUCAAACAGG